CGGAAUUACUGGGCGUAAAGCGUGCGUAGACGGUCAUGUAAGUCGGGUGGGAAAGCCCCGGGCUCAACCUGGGAAUUGCAUUCGAGACUGCAUGGCUAGGGUGCGGAAGAGGGAAGCGGAAUUUCCGGUGUAGCGGUGAAAUGCGUAGAUAUCGGAAGGAACAUCAGUGGCGAAAGCGGCUUCCUGGUCCAGCACCGACGUUCAGGCACGAAAGCGUGGGGAGCAAACAGG
rnacentral:rRNA from 1 species